rnacentral:rRNA from 1 species
GUAAGCCUAAAUACUCAGUGUGACCGAUAGUGGAUAGUACCGUGAGGGAAUGGUGAAAAGUACCCCGGGAGGGGAGUGAAAGAGUACCUGAAACCGUGUGCUUACAAGCGGUCGGAGCUGCAUUUAUGCAGUGACGGCGUGCCUUUUGUAUAAUGAGCCUACGAGUUGCUCCUGUUGUGCGAGGUUAAGCCCCUAAGGGGUGGAGCCGUAGCGAAAGCGAGUCUGAAAUGGG